AUUUCUGUAUUUCGCAAUCGUUUAGGGUUUUGAAAAGGGUUUUUUUUCGCAGUGAUUACUUCACACUAUUUGUUCAUCAUGGCGGAGAGUUUCGUGAAGUACAUGGCUUUGAUGCUUAUGAUGGGGGUCAAAAGGUAGGGUUUCAUGACCUUGAUGUAGAUAAGUUUGGUUUUUUUUAUUUGAAGGAUUUAGUGGAGAGUUUGGGUUAUUCUGGAUGGGCUAAGUUAGUAUAUGUCGAGCCUAAAUCAUAUACAUUUAGGGUAAUCAAAACCGAUAAGGAGGUGAUGGAUAUGUUGGGUUUCCUUACAAAUGUUAAUAGGUCAGUUAGCGUAUUUGUGGCUGGGGGGAUUAUGAAGAGUGAUGCUGGGGCAAAUGAUGAGGGAGAUGUUGUGGUAGAUGAUGAGGCUGAUGAUGUGGUAGAUGAUCAGGGAGAUGA
rnacentral:lncRNA from 1 species